AUGGCGGGGGCGACGGAGACGGCGACCUGGGAGGAGAUGCUGCGGCGGAUGCUGCCGCCGGGGACCGCCAUCCCGGAGGGCGCGGCGGGGAACCUCGACUACUCCAUCGCGCUCGAGUACGACGGCCCGCCCGUCGCCUACGAGGUCCCCAGGAUCGCGCCCGUCGACAUGGCGGACGUGCCCACGGCCGAGCCCGUCUCCGCGUCCUACGGGCUCCUCGGGAACGGCGGCGCCCGUCUUCAGGCCGCCGGCGAGCCGGGCGCGCGCCGAGCCGCCGCAGGCCAGGAGACGCGCGGGGCCGGCCGACUCGGCGCCGCGACGGAGAAGAGGGGGAAGACCUGCGACCGGUGCGGUAAGAGGAAGUGGGAGAGCAAGGAGUCGUGCAUCGUCUGCGACAAGAGGUACUGCGGCUACUGCCUGCUGAGGGCCAUGGGAUCGAUGCCGGAAGGCCGCAAGUGUAUCACUUGCAUUGGCCGGCCGAUCUAUGAGGGAAAGCGGUCGAAGCUGGGGAAGAGCUCAAGGAUAUUAUCACGGCUGCUCAGCUCGCUGGAGGUAAGGCAAAUCUUGAAGGCCGAGAAGGAGUGCCAGGCAAACCAGCUCCGGCCCGAGCAGCUCAUCGUCAAUGGCUUCCCUCUUUGUCAAGAAGAGAUGUCAGACUUGCUUAGCUGCCCACGGCCUCCUCAAAAUCUGAAGCCCGGAAGAUAUUGGUAUGACAAGGAGUCGGGCCUAUGGGGAAAGGAAGGGGAAAAGCCAAACAGGGUUGUCAGCACCAACCUGAACUUCAAUGGAAAGAUUCAGCCCAAUGCUAGUAAUGGCAACACUCAGGUUUAUAUGAAUGGAAGGGAAAUUACCAGCAUCGAACGGAAAAUUCUGAGGUUUGCACAAGUUCAAUGUCCCCGCGAUACUCACUUUUGGGUCUAUCAUGAUGGUGGAUAUGAGGAAGAAGGCCAAAAUAACAUCAAAGGGAAGAUAUGGGAGUCAGCUAAGUUACUAUAUGGAAGUAGAUUUACCCCAGAAGAACUUGACAAUAUCAAACUAAUGAUCCAAAGCAACAUGUUCAAGUACCUUGGGAUUCUGCUAGAGGGCCGUGAGCGCUUCGAGGAAGAGGCUUUGGCUAUAUCAAAUAACCCAAACUCAGAGGAUGAGGAUACACAACAAGAGGAAAACGAAUCGAGUGGUUUAAAUUCCUGCAUAUACUCAAUAAAUGCAAAGCUGAAGAAGUUCUCAGAUUGGCUUUUGGACAUCAUAGCAAUGGGAGACCUAGAUGCCUUCUUCCCUGCAGCUACACGUGAAUAUGCUCCAGUUGUUGAUGAGUUGUGGAAGCAUCCUGCCAUACAAGCAACAUAUAAAAGAAAGGACGAAUUGUAUUUUCUCCCUGAUGUCGCUGAAUAUUUCUUAAGCAGGGCUAUUGAAGUAUCAAGCAAUGAGUAUGAACCUUCAGAGAAAGAUGUCUUAUAUGCUGAAGGAGUAUCACAAGGAAAUGGAUUGGCCUUCAUUGACUUCACUCUGGACGAACGGAACCCUAUGUCAGAACUCUAUGGUGACAGUCAUGACCCAAGCUCUCAGGCACAAAACAAAUAUCAGCUGAUUAGAGUCAACGCCAAGGGCUUGAAUGAGGGCUGCAAAUGGGUUGAAAUGUUUGAGGAUGUCCGUGCGGUGAUAUUCUCGGUAGCACUCAGCGACUAUGACCAGCUGGGAGCCCCUGCUAGUGGCACCAGUAGGCGCCUCGAGAAUAAGAUGAUUCAGAGCAGGGACUUGUUUGAGGCCACAAUCAGGCACCCGUCUUUCCGUGACACACCAUUCGUCCUGGUGCUCAACAAGUUCGACAUCUUCGAGGAGAAGAUCGGGCGGUCCCCACUCACCACCUGUGAGUGGUUCAGUGACUUCGACCCGCUCCGCACCCACAACAGCCAGUCGAUGGCGCAGCAGGCGUUCUUCUAUGUGGCGAUGAAGUUAAAGAACCUGUACGCGGCGCACACGGGCGACCGGAAGCUCUUCGUGUGGCAGGCGCGUGCUCGCGACGGCCCCACCGUCGACGAGGCCUUCCGAUACAUCCGGGAGGUGCUCCGGUGGGAGGACGAGAAGGAGUACGGGGGCUUCUGCCCGGACGAGUCCUUCUACAGCACCACCGAGCUCAGCUCCUCCCGCCUCGUCGAACAAGACUGGCAGCAACAUCCUGCCGCCGACCAGAGACCAGGGAGCACAUAG
rnacentral:rRNA from 1 species